GGGGGCGAACUGGGUUCGACCGGGCGGGCGAAGCGUGAGUUGCGCGUCGAGGUUGAUCGGUUGGCCUCGUUAAAAGCCGAUUAUAAAUUUCAAUUGCCAACAAUCAAGUGGCUCUGGCCGCCUAAGAACAGGCGACCCCGGGUUUGACGCUUCGCCGAAGAGCUGAAAAACCUGGUCGAUAAUUUCGGAUCGUCGCUCGUCGCGCCGAACACGCGAGCGGUUAAAUUUGGCUUUCGGAUCGUUCCUGAGAAACCGUCGUCGAUAAGGGUUCGAGGGGAUUAAAUUUUAAAGAAUCGACUAUACGCGUAGACGCUCUCGUAGAGACGUCGCGGGACGCGGGUUCAAUUCCCGCCGCCUCCACUU
rnacentral:tmRNA from 1 species